UUCACCUGCCUUCAAUAAAAAAGGACUUAAACGGAAAGGAGUGGCCUUGAGGAGAGCGAGUUAUGAUUGCCAGACUGAGGAGGCCAUUGUUCUACCUUCUCCUGGGGUUAGGGAGAUUGACAAGGUACAGCCUGCUCCCCCAGCCGUGUGUCUGAAGCUUCUCUUCUCAGUUACUUUUCUUGUUCUGCCAUUUCUAAGCAGUUCUCCAUGCUUCAAAACUAUGCCAUUUCUUGAGAGGUGAAGAAUUUUCUUGUUUUUCUGCUUUUUGCUUAUUAUUAUUGUUUUUUGAAAUAAUGAAAAUUCUCUAAUAAUGAUUGAAGUGAUGAAUGCAUUGCACCACUGUGUGAUUAUAUCAAACACCGUUGAUUAUACACAUUGGAUGAAUUGUAUGCUUUAGUAAUAGGUAUCAGUAAAAUUGAUUUUUUAAAAACAAACAUAUGAAAAAACAAAAAUAAAUAAAUAAACUGUCCUCUCUCAUCAGACCUUUCCUGCUCAGAGCCCCUUUUUUGAAGGUUAUAUAGCUUUCUACGAUGGUAAUAG
rnacentral:lncRNA from 1 species